UUGACCUCGGAUCAGAGGA
rnacentral:rRNA from 1 species